rnacentral:rRNA from 1 species
UAGGGAAUCUUCCGCAAUGGGCGAAAGCCUGACGGAGCAACGCCGCGUGAGUGAUGAAGGUCUUCGGAUCGUAAAACUCUGUUAUAAGGGAAGAAAAAAUGUGUAAGUAACUAUGCACGUCUUGACGGUACCUAAUCAGAAAGCCACGGCUAACUACGUGCCAGCAGCCGCGGUAAUACGUAGGUGGCAAGAGUUAUCCGGAAUUAUUGGGCGUAAAGCGCGCGUAGGCGGUUUUUUAAGUCUGAUGUGAAAGCCCACGGCUCAACCGUGGAGGGUCAUUGGAAACUGUAAAACUUAAGUGCAGGAGAGGAAAGUAAAAUUCCAUGUUUAGCGGUGAAAUGCGCAGAGAUAUGGGGGAACACCAGUGGCGAAGGCGACUUUCUGGUCUGUAACUGACGCUGAUGUGCGAAAGCGUGGGGAUCAAACAGG